rnacentral:rRNA from 1 species
UAGGGAAUAUUGCGCAAUGGAGGAAACUCUGACGCAGCGACGCCGCGUGGGUGACGAAGGUUUUCGGAUCGUAAAGCCCUGUCGGAAGAGACGAAAAAUGGGGAGGCUAACAUCCUCCUCACUUGACGGUACCUUCAAAGGAAGCACCGGCUAACUACGUGCCAGCAGCCGCGGUAAUACGUAGGGUGCUAGCGUUGUUCGGAAUCAUUGGGCGUAAAGCGCGUGUAGGUGGCUAGUUAAGUCGAGUGUGAAAUCCCUGGGCUCAACCGAGGAAGUGCAUUCGAAACUAAUUAGCUCGAGAAUGGUAGAGGAAGGUGGAAUUCCGUGUGUAGAGGUGAAAUUCGUAGAUAUACGGAGGAAUACCGGUGGCGAAGGCGGCCUUCUGGACCAUUUCUGACACUGAGACGCGAAAGCGUGGGGAGCAAACAG